GAUGAACGCUGGCGGCGUGCCUAAUACAUGCAAGUCGAGCGAACAGAUAAGGAGCUUGCUCCUUUGACGUUAGCGGCGGACGGGUGAGUAACACGUGGGUAACCUACCUAUAAGACUGGGAUAACUUCGGGAAACCGGAGCUAAUACCGGAUAACAUUUGGAACCGCAUGGUUCUACAGUGAAAGAUGGUUUUGCUAUCACUUAUAGAUGGUCCCGCGCCGUAUUAGCUAGUUGGUAAGGUAACGGCUUACCAAGGCGACGAUACGUAGCCGACCUGAGAGGGUGAUCGGCCACACUGGAACUGAGACACGGUCCGGACUCCUACGGGAGGCAGCAGUAGGGAAUCUUCCGCAAUGGGCGAAAGCCUGACGGAGCAACGCCGCGUGAGUGAUGAAGGGUUUCGGCUCGUAAAACUCUGUUAUUAGGGAAGAACAAACGUGUAAGUAACUGUGCACGUCUUGACGUUGCCUAAUCAGAAAGCCACGGCUAACUACGUG
rnacentral:rRNA from 1 species